CCUCCUGGAGUUGGUACAACAGCGCGUCCCUGCCCUCAGCUGCUUCACACACGUUCUCCAAGGGAGAUCUUGGCUGCGCGUCCCUCGAGGAUAUUUCCGUCCUCUAGGGGGGUGAAACCACCCCUGAAAUACAACGAGCUGUUGUCUCCCCCUCCGAUAAACGGGGCCAGGCGUCUGCUAGGACACAGAGAGACGGCCCUGCAGGUGGAGCGCGGGGCAGGCGGGAGCUCAGCCUUCAGCUCCACCUGUGCCAGAGUCCUCUGCCCGACCUUGAGCUGCUCGCUCGGGUCACGCGUGCUGCUGAAUUGCUGGACGCGCUGCGUUGCGCCAACGGCAAGCGUGCUGCAACCGUGCAGGGCAGGCUCCAGACGCUAGAUGUUGCUGUUGCUACGGAUUGGAAAAUUAGUGCUCGCUUCAGCUGUGUCAUAACCAGGGAAUUAGAGCGGCACCCUUCAGGAAAUACGGUCUGAACAAGAAAGAUUGUCUAGCAUCCCAUUAGAAGGGCUGCCCUUUUCAUCCUUGGAAGCAGUUGGUACUCUUGCUGAAUCUAAUUCACCUGGCUGUUUUCCAGACCUCUGCUCUGUGAGCUGUUCUGCUUGGGCAGGUACUGCUGUCUCACAGCAAAUUGUUAAGCAGCCAGAAAUAUUACUGUCCCCCAAGUGGACAGACACCUCUCACAGACCCUUCCAGAGCAUUGUUUCUCAGGUAUUCUCACCCUGCUUCUGUUUUUCCUUCGCCUCUGGUGCUGUUUCAGUCCCCAACCCUGCAUGUAUAUAUGCAGGUGUUUUUUUUAUGGAUGUGAGCAAUCACACUGCCUCCAGUGAGAAUAUUCACAUGACCAAAAUCAUGCACUUGCAUAGGGAUUUCCUGAAUCAAGGGCAUAAAAGGAAAUGGCCAGGUUAAUAACGGGCUGGUUUUAUCCCUGAUGUAAUGUCAUUGACACCAGUGGAAUUAUACAAGGCUGAAAUAGAUCCAGUACGUCCAAACAGGGAACUACCUCCGGCUUCCUCGCCUGCCACUUUCUGUAUUGAUGGUGUAACCAAAGUCAGUCCUCCUUUCUCCAGGUUUGGGCAACUGAGGCUGAGGGAAUUCAGACCACUUUGCACCAGCAAGAGCUGCUCUCCUCUAGCACAGCAUCUCCUGAGAUAUCAGGUGUGCUUGCCCUGCAGAGCUAACAGACAUAUGCUUGUGGAGCUUCACUCACACAUCCUCAUUGCCACACUGAAGCAGCUCUCACCUGUCCUGCCACUUCACUGCUCCUAGCUGAUGCUGAGCCAUUCUGUGGCCUUAGCAGGAGCUGCUGGUCUUGGGGCAAGAGCUCUUGCCCUGCUUUUCUCAGUUGGUGUCUGGUUGUUCCGCUAUGUGUUCUUCUCUUGCAGCAGUGCUUUUUUGGUCUUUGUGGGUAGUAAGUGCUCCAGUUGAAUAUUCACACUUGAAAACAGCUGGUGUGUAAACAUGAAGAUGAUAUAUCUGUAUAAAAGGUUUGUUAGGCUUAGAAGAAUACUCUCUUAAAAAAUGUUCCUCUCUCCCUUCUGUGGCUGUCCUUCCCUUUAUCUGUGGAAUGUUUGGGACCUCCAACCCUCAUUGCUGUGAAGCUCUGAUUUGGCAGCUCUGUGAACUUGCCCUCAGCUAGACUUCAGUGUGGUUCAGCAUCGUUUCUUCUGGUCUACAAAAGCAUGUUCCCUACCUGCCUGCUCAUGCAAAUACUCCCUAACAUGGGAUGGACCUCCAAAUUUCCAAAAUUAUGGAGCCAGGAGAGGGAGGAAUAGGGGAAAAAAACAGCGCUAAAACACCCUCCAGCAUCCAGGGCUCAUGACUGCUUUGACAAGAUCUAUCUUUAGUUAUAAUAGUGAGUCACAUCAUUGUGAUUUGACUUUACGGUUAGUUUGAGGUAUGAGCCAGGCCAUGGGAUUGAGAGCGAGAGCAUCACGGGAUGCAGCUGUAAAAUUCCACUACUCUGUAGAUCAGGUUUGAAGAGCAUUAAGAAACAGGAAGCAGACAGGGGAGGGUGGGUUUUUGUGUGCGUGGGUUUUUUUUGUUCUGUUUUGCUUCUUUUUUUUUCAGCGGAAAAUGAUCGCAGUGCCCGCUGCAUUGUGAUGUUGAGCAGCACAGGGAGCGGAACGGAGGGCGUGUAUCGGUAGUGUUGGCACCAGGAGAUUGAGGGGUGCUCCCUCCCAGGUGGACGCGUGCUGCUCCGUAACAGGAAUCGCAGGCAACCCCGGGCAGAGCUCCUGGGAUGUGAAAUGUGGGCAUGAUUCCUGAGAUAUAAACACCUUCUGUGCCUGAGAUGGGCUACAGGUUGGCUUUAGCACAAAGAAAUUAAUAAAUAACCAGGUGGUGAAGAUUAUGUGACAGACAUAAUAAUGCUCCUGCACUCCAGGGCAUUGUGGAUGAGAACCCAUAUCACAAACACCAGUGACAGUUUUCUAGAUUGAUGGGUGUAAUUGCAGUGGAGACUGCUUGCCAAGCCCCCUCCCUGAAAUGAUUGCAUAACCCAGCUGUUGCAUGUGUGGGAAAAAAAAAAAAAGAAAAGAAAAGAAAAAGGGAGGAAACCAAUCCUAUUCUAUAUGAAGCUGAAUUGUUAUUGCAGAAGGUAAACAGCAAGGAGCCUAGUCCCCAGAGCAGCAGAGGAGAUGGUAUCUACAGCUCAUUUCAGGUAUGCAGAGACUGAAUCAGGAGCUGUCUCAUUCGAGGUCAAAAGAGCCAUCUGCAAAGAGUCUACCCAGAACAGGGCUUCCAUAGUUCUGAAAUCUCUGGAUCUACAAUGCUCAUUUUUUGGACAUAUUGUUACUUGUAAUGUUACUGGGUGGCAAGAAGGGAAGGAUGCAAAAGAGUGGAUAAAAGGCAGUAGAUCAUUUUUGGCACCUGAAUACCAUGUUUUUCUACUGAACAUCUGCAGACAGACACACUGUUUAAGCCAAAGUGAAGAGGGAAGCAAGAGGGGAAAACCACAGUGUCAAAAUACACAACGGCUUGUGAGAUGAACCGCUGCAUUGCCCCUCAUCUACACUUGCAGAUAUGGCAGCACUGGUGGAGUCAGCAAAACCAUGCUUUGUCCUCCAAUUACUUAGUUGAAUUGUGCUGGAUGGACACCAGUGACUGAUGGAGGGAUGCUGGACCCAGCCCAUAUCUAGGACAGCGAGCGUGCCGUGCCUGGUUCCUGCCAACAGUAGAACUUCAGCAGUAGAAAGGUGGUAACCACUGAAUAAUGUUUGAGAUACCUGCGUGCUGGGUGGCAAACAUAACAGAAAUGUCUCUAGGAAGCCUACCUGUGAAGGACUGGAACCAUAUACACAAAGUAUAAUGCAGAACUCAACUAAGUAAUGAAGUUGAAAAGAAGAAGUCCAGUUCUUAAACUCGGUGCACUGAGUGCUUAAUGUUCUUAGUUGAAAGAAUAUCUGACCUUGCAAUAAAAAGAUGUGAUAAAGUGAAUGCACUGAAAGGAUAAUUAAACCUAUUCAGACCAUCAUGAUCAUUUCAUCAAACUUCCUGCAAAAUUCAGACCAUCAGUCCUUAGUCUACAAUUCAGAUUUCCAGCCUUGAACUAAUCUUUGGGCUAUAAUAUGUGUGACUGCUGAGAUGGUAUUAAUUUGGUGUUGAAACACUGCUUGCAUUUUGGCUUGCACUAUUGAUGUGAUAUUACAGUGUAGACAUCCCAGGUUUGCCUAUCGACAUAUGCACAAAGGCUUUCUGUGCAAAGUUUUAUUUUAAAUGUUGCUGAAGAAGUCUCACUUCACAUUUAUGCUUA